rnacentral:rRNA from 1 species
AAUUCGAUUAGAGUUUGAUCCUGGCUCAGGACGAACGCUGGCGGCGUGCCUAACACAUGCAAGUCGAGCGGAGAUACUAAGUAGCUUGCUAUGAAGUAUCUUAGCGGCGGACGGGUGAGUAACGCGUGGGUAACCUGCCUUACAGAGGGGGAUAACAGUGCGAAAGUACUGCUAAUACCGCAUAAGAUUGUACUACCGCAUGGUAGAGCAAUCAAAGGAGAAAUCCGCUGUAAGAUGGACCCGCGUCUGAUUAGCUAGUUGGAGAGGUAAAAGCUCACCAAGGCGACGAUCAGUAGCCGAUCUGAGAGGAUGAACGGCCACACUGGAACUGAGACACGGUCCAGACUCCUACGGGAGGCAGCAGUGGGGAAUAUUGCACAAUGGGGGAAACCCUGAUGCAGCAACGCCGCGUGGAGGAUGAAGGUCUUCGGAUUGUAAACUCCUGUCUUUUGGGACGAAAAAAAUGACGGUACCAAAGGAGGAAGCCACGGCUAACUACGUGCCAGCAGCCGCGGUAAUACGUAGGUGGCAAGCGUUGUCCGGAAUUAUUGGGCGUAAAGGGCGCGUAGGCGGCGACUUAAGUCAGAUGUGAAAUCCCCGGGCUUAACUCGGGAAUAGCAUCUGAUACUGGGACGCUAGAGUGCAGGAGAGGUAAGUGGAAUUCCUAGUGUAGCGGUGAAAUGCGUAGAUAUUAGGAGGAACACCAGUGGCGAAGGCGACUUACUG